GUUGGCAUGCCUUACACAUGCAAGUCGAACGGCAGCACGGGCUUCGGCCUGGUGGCGAGUGGCGAACGGGUGAGUAAUACAUCGGAACAUGUCCUGUAGUGGGGGAUAGCCCGGCGAAAGCCGGAUUAAUACCGCAUACGAUCUGAGGAUGAAAGCGGGGGACCUUCGGGCCUCGCGCUAUAGGGUUGGCCGAUGGCUGAUUAGCUAGUUGGUGGGGUAAAGGCCUACCAAGGCGACGAUCAGUAGCUGGUCUGAGAGGACGACCAGCCACACUGGGACUGAGACACGGCCCAGACUCCUACGGGAGGCAGCAGUGGGGAAUUUUGGACAAUGGGCGCAAGCCUGAUCCAGCAAUGCCGCGUGUGUGAAGAAGGCCUUCGGGUUGUAAAGCACUUUUGUCCGGAAAGAAAUCAUUCUGGCUAAUACCCGGAGUGGAUGACGGUACCGGAAGAAUAAGCACCGGCUAACUACGUGCCAGCAGCA
rnacentral:rRNA from 1 species